UCUAUAUAGUUUCUGAGUCAUCCUAUCUUUCCUCUCUCCUCUCUCCAAAUUUUUUUUCCUCCUCUCUUCUGAUUAUGGAAUAAUUUUUUUGGAUAAGCUUCGGGGAUUAUGGAUCAUGAGUUAGGGAUGGAAAAUGAAGACUCCUGUGAAACAACAUGAUGCUGAAAUCAAUACUGGCUAUGUUCGCGACUCAUUUGGUUGUAUUUUUUCGAAGAUACAACCUUCCCAAAGAAAAUAUUCGAUUACGGACAAGGCUACAUCGCCAACCUCAAUCAUAAAGAAGAGACAUCUUUCCAGUAUAGGCCGUCGUAACAUUCUUAUCAAACUUGUUCGUGUAAGGGCUUAGGAAUCUAUUUUGAUAGUUUUAACUCGAGCACAAAUGCUCAAUCUUACUUACAUACUGCCAGUAUUAGAAGACUACUCAUUGGGUACCGAUGGAGAAAAAAUGUUUCCUAGGAUUUGGAAGAACCCUAAAUAUCUUGGUUAUCUUUGCAUUUUUAUUUUUAGAUUUGGAAUCUUCUUUAGGACUUAUCGUGUUGUGCUCUUUUCCUUCGUCAAGGUUUUAUCCCUUUGGCUAUGAGUUUUCCUUGUCAAGGUUUUUAACGAGGCAACAUCUGCAUGUCCAACACCUUUCGGUGGUUUAAACUUUUACCUUAUAUUGUUCAUCUUUUUAUUUUCCUGUAAUUCCUUUAAUUUGUUAGCCACAAUUGAUGGCUAUAACACCAAUGCAACCACGGCUGCUAACGCCAUAAGUUAGUUUCUCUUUAAUGUAAUACCUAAUUCACAAAAAAA